rnacentral:lncRNA from 1 species
CCCAGCCCCAGUCACCCACCCCCACCAAUGGACUGGUGCUCUCCCACCUGCAAGACCCCUAUAUAAGCUUCCAGCUCAGCCCAUGCAGUUGCUGGUCUCCAUUCUGUCAGUCAGCCCAGCAGGCUGCAGACUGCCGCCCCAAUAAAGCUUGCCUGAACGUCCAUGUGUGCCCCCCCUUCUUCAGUGACCCUUACAUUCUGGUGCCAAAACCCAGGAGGCAGCGCUAUUGGGACCUGUGGGCUCACCCCACUGGGGUCCAGAACUGCACUCCCGAUGGCCCCUUCCCGGGCCUGCAGUUGCCGAACUGGGGCACACACCUCUGGGGCUUUCAGUCCUUUGCCAUUGCUGAUGCUGCAUCCAACACCAGCCUGAUUCUCUCAACAGGACCUACCCGGCUUAAACUGAC